rnacentral:rRNA from 1 species
AAUGAACGCUGGCGGCGUGCCUAACACAUGCAAGUCGAACGAGACCUUCGGGUCUAGUGGCGCACGGGUGCGUAACGCGUGGGAAUCUGCCCUUGGGUUCGGAAUAACAGUUAGAAAUGACUGCUAAUACCGGAUGAUGUCGUAAGACCAAAGAUUUAUCGCCCAAGGAUGAGCCCGCGUAGGAUUAGCUAGUUGGUGAGGUAAAAGCUCACCAAGGCGACGAUCCUUAGCUGGUCUGAGAGGAUGAUCAGCCACACUGGGACUGAGACACGGCGCAGACUCCUACGGGAGGCAGCAGUGGGGAAUAUUGGACAAUGGGCGAAAGCCUGAUCCAGCAAUGCCGCGUGAGUGAUGAAGGCCUUAGGGUUGUAAAGCUCUUUUACCCGGGAUGAUAAUGACAGUACCGAGAGAAUAAGCUCCGGCUAACUUCGUGCCAGCCGCCGCCGUAAAAC